AUUGAACGCUGGCGGCAGGCUUAACACAUGCAAGUCGAGCGAGUGGCGGACGGGUGAGUAAUGUCUGGGAACCUGCCUGGUGGAGGGGGAUAACUACUGGAAACAGUAGCUAAUACCGCAUACCAUCAGAUCUGCCCAUAUGGGAUUAGCUAGUUGGUGGGGUAAAGGCUCACCAAGGCGACGAUCCCUAGCUGGUCUGAGAGGAUGACCAGCCACACUGGAACUGAGACACGGUCCAGACUCCUACGGGAGGCAGCAGGGGGGAAUAUUGAACAAUGGGCGAAAGCCUGAUGCAGCCAUGCCGCGUGUGUGAAGAAGGCCUUCGGGUUGUAAAGCACUUUAAGCGGGGAGGCGGUACCUGCAGAAGAAGCACCGGCUAACUACGUGCCAGCAGCCGCGGUAAUAC
rnacentral:rRNA from 1 species